rnacentral:rRNA from 1 species
GAUCGAAAGAUGAAAAGCACCUUGAAAAGGGGGUUAAACAGUACGUGAAAUUGUUGAAAGGGAAGCGUUUAUGACCAGACUUGUGUCGUGUGGCUCAUCCGAGGUUCUCCCCGGUGCACUCCACACGGCUCAGGCCAACAUCGGUUCUCGUUGGGGGAUAAGAACAGUAGGAACGUGGCCCCUCUCGGGGGGUGUUAUAGCCUAUUGUACGAUACUCUGACGGGGACCGAGGACCGCGCUUCGGCUAGGAUGUUGGCGUAAUGGUCAUUAGCGACCCGUCUUGAAACACGGACCAAGGAGUCGUCCAUUAGAGCGAGCGUUUGGGUGUAAAACCCGCACGCGUAAUGAAAGUGAAAUUAGGUGAGAGCUUCGGCGCAUCAUCGACCGAUCCUGAAGUUUACGGAUGGAUUUGAGUAAGAGUUUUAACGGACGGACCCGAAAGACAGUGAACUAUGCUUGAAUAGGGUGAAGCCAGAGGAAACUCUGGUGGAGGCUCGCAGCGGUUCUGACGUGCAAAUCGAUCGUCAAAUUUGAGCAUGGGG